AUUAAGGUAGAGACGGAUAGCAAUCACGUGAUAGAUAGAAUCCGCAUAUUAGCACGUGCUGUUUUUCCGGAUUCCGCAACGCCGCCAAGUAAUAAUCUUCAUUUACACAUUAUUGUCUAUGCUACAAGAUGGCCGACGAAGCAGUCGAGAAAAUUUCCUCGUUUAAAAGACAAAGUUUCCAUACAUAUUUUAAUCUUGACGGUCCUCGAAAUUGAAGCACCUUAAUAAGAAUCGAAAUGAAAAUGAGACUGAAACCGACCAUGAACAUAAUUUUGGUGAAACUACUCCUUGUCCACUGCAGCACCACGUACGUGGGUGCCGGUAUCUGUGUCUGAUGUGGUUUUGAACGUAGACAUUAACUGAUUAAAGGCCAUGACCCUGCAGAUGUUAAUUGGUAUGAUGGAAGAAGUAAAAAUUUUGCAGAAGAAAUGUUUUGUUUGCAGUGUCCGUUUCAGAUACAUCAGGUGAAGCAAAAUAUGGACUAGGCUAAGGCAGUGUAUUCAGCAUUCUCUGUGGAAAUAAUGUGGCCAUUCAAAUCAAGUGUCAGCUGGAAAGAGGAAUAUCAAGGGUGCUUUUUACAUUAACUUCAAAGUAGCCAUUGGAAAAUUCAAGACAGAUCUGCUACAGUAACUGUACAUAAAGUAGCAUACAUGUGUGACAGGAAAGGAGGAAAAUGUAUGGCUGGACCGAGAAUCUAACCUGGGACCCCUGCAUCACUAGUCAGAUCUUAUGGACAUACAUGAUCCUUGGCUAUAUAAUCAAGGGUCAUAUGCAGUGUUACAAAAGAA